rnacentral:rRNA from 1 species
GGAUUUCGGAGAGGGAGCAUGAGAAACGGCUACCACAUCUAAGGAAGGCAGCAGGCGCGUAAAUUACCCAAUCCUGACUCAGGGAGGUAGUGACAAGAAAUAGCAAACCGGGAACCUCAUGGUUUCACGGUAUUGCAAUGAGAACAAUUUAAAACCCUUAGCGAGAAUCAAGUGGAGGACAAGUCUGGUGCCAGCACCCGCGGUAAUUCCAGCUCCACUAGCGUAUAUUAAAGUUGUUGCAGUUAAAAAGCUCGUAGUUGAACCUCUGUCUGGGGCUAGUUUUGGCUUUAGUCAGGCUAGUUCUAGGCAUCCGCCUACAAGACUUAGAGGGCAUUCAGUUGUUCACUAGGAGGAGUAGGCAUUUUACUUUGAAAAAAAUUAGAGUGUUUAAGGCAGGCAAUCGCCCGCAUAUAUUAGCAUGGAAUAAUAGAAUAGGACACUUUUCCAUUUCGUUGGUUAUUGGAAUCGUGUAAUGAUUAAUAGGGACAGUUGUGGGCAUUUGUAUUUAAUUGUCAGAGGUGAAAUUCUUGGAUUUAUUAAAGACAAACUAACGCGAAAGCAUUUGCCAAGGAUGUUUUCAUUAAUCAAGAACGAAAGUUAGGGGAUCAAAGACGAUCAGAUACCGUCCUAGUCUUAACUAUAAACUAUUCCGACUCAAUGUUUGACUGGCUUAUAUAACCAGUUGAGCGUUGUAUGAGAAAUCAAAGUCUUUAGGUUCUGGGGGGAGUAUGGUUGCAAAGCUGAAACUUAAAGGAAUUGACGGAAGAGCACAACCAGGAGUGGAUUCUGCGGCUUAAUUUGACUCAACACGGGGAAACUUACCAGGUUAAAACAAUAGUGGGAUUGACAGUUUGAGAGCGCUUUCUUGAUUGGUUGGGUGGUGGUGCAUGGCCGUUCUUAGUUGGUGGAGUGAUUUGUCUGCUUAAUUGCGUUAACGAACGAGACCUUAACCUGCUUACUAGACUGGCGAUCAUCAAUCGUUAGCUCUUCUUAGAGGGACUUUGGUUGUUUUAACUCCAAGGAAGUUUGAGGCAAUAACAGGUCUGUGAUGCCCUUAGAUAUCCUGGGCCGCACGCGUCAUACAAUGACUAGUUCAGAAAGUUUUCUCCUGACCCGAAAGGGGGUGGGUAAUCUUGAUAAUACUAGUCGUGUUAGGGAUCGAUCUUUGCAAUUAUAGAUCUUGAACGAGGAAUUCCUAGUAAGUGCGGUUCAUCAGACCGUACUGAUUACGUCCCUGCUCUUUGUACACACCGCCCGUCGCUUCUACCGAGUGGGUGGUCCGGUGAGAUAAUUGAACUUCGCAGGUAACUGAGAGGAAAGAUUAUCAAACCUAUCCACCUCGAGGAAGAAGAAGUCGUAACAAGGUU